rnacentral:tRNA from 1 species
GCCCCCGUAGCCCAACUGGCAGAGGCAACCGACUUAAAAUCGGUCCAGUGCGGGUUCGAAACCCGCCGGGGGCACCU